rnacentral:rRNA from 1 species
AGUAAAUGUAAAUAUAAAAACUAAAUUAGUAUUAGUUAUAAUCUUAAAAGUUAAAGAUUUUGGCGGUAUUUUAGUCUUUUCAGAGGAAUCUGUCCUGUAAUUGAUAAUCCACGAUUAAUUAAACUUUUAUUAUUAAUUUGUAUAUCAUCGUAAAUGAAUAUUUUAAAAGAAUUAAUAUUCAAAAUUUAUAAUUAUAAUAAAAAUCAGAUCAAGGUGCAGUUUAUAUAAAAGAAGAGAUGGAUUACAAUAAAAUAAUUUAAAUGAAUAUUUAAAUGAAAUUUUAAAUUGAAAGUGGAUUUGAGAGUAAUUUUAUUAAUUUAAUUAAAAUGAUUUUAGCUCUAAAAUAUGC